UCCAACUUGGCNGAAAAAUGCCAUAAAUUUAGAAUUUAUUUAUGGAAAUUCAAUUCAGUUGAAA
rnacentral:tRNA from 1 species